rnacentral:rRNA from 1 species
CAGGUAGUAUUUGUUCUCGAAAGGGCUUCGAUUAAUAUUGAAUAAUCAGACAUAGUACGCUAAGGUUGUAUGUCUAAAGGGAAACAGCCCAGAACAAGUGUAAAUAAGGUUCCAAAAUUAUUGUUAAGUGAAACAAAGGUAGUUUAUCUUUUAAACGUCCAGGAAAUUGGCUUAGAGGCGGCCAUUUUUUAAAGAUCUCGUAACAGAGCACUGGUUUUAUUAUAAAUAUAUAUAAUAUAUUUAUAUGUCGAGAUAUGCACUGACGAUUCCACGGAUCUAAAUAAUAUACCGAAACCUUGUCCAUGUUUAUUUAUAUAUAUGCUUGUGUAUAUAGUAUAAAAUGUGUUAUAUAUAUGAGUUAUAUAUAAUAGAAUGGGGUAGCGGAACAUUGGGCAAACCACACUUUUUUUUUAUAAAAAUUUUUAGGUACCCCAAGUGAUAAUGCUGACAUGAGUAACGAUAAAGGGAUAAAUCCCUCGCCUAAAGCUUAUGGUAUUUAGUUAAAGUAACGGCCUCUAAGUUUAUUAAUAAAAAACUAAAGUAUAUUACCUGAUUUACGGAUAAUAAUUAAAAGUAUUUUAGUUAACCUAAAGGAUUAAACGAUGAGCAAAUCUUUAGAAUAAAAAUAUAUAUAAAUAACAUUUUAAACAAUUUUUCUUCGUUAGACUUUCGUCAGACUUUCGUUAGACUUUCGUUAGACUUUGGUCAGACUUUCGUUAGAAAAGUGUAAAAGUGAAAAGUGUUCUGGAAAAUUGUAUUUUUUACCGCUUUACCUAAAACGUGUGGAUGUUACACACUCGUGGAAGAUAAACUAAAUAGAUGAACCAAUUUAAAGUGGUUACCGUACCUAGAUACUAGCACAAGUAAGCAAGUAGAG